CAGAUUCUGAGCAAAGCAAUCCUCGCUAAGCUAUUAUUGAUUUUGAUUUCUCAGGCAUUCAGCUCACAGGCAAUUACCAUUAAUUCGAUGGCUUACAUUCCUCCACAUAAGCGGCAUUCACAAGACAAGGGAAGGCCAUCACCAACUCCAGAGAAGUUUAUUCCUCUCUUCAAAAGCAAUUAUCUUAGUGUGAGAUCACAGGAUUCUAAAAUAGUCAAGAGGGGAAAGAUUGUUAAUGCAGACGCC
rnacentral:misc_RNA from 1 species